rnacentral:rRNA from 20 species
GGCCUUUGGGUUAUGAUCAAAAGGUCCGUCCUGCCCGGUGAUAUAAUUAAACGGCUGCAGUACUCUGACUGUGCAAAGGUAGCAUGAUCAAUUGUCUGGUAAUUCCAGUCUGGUAUGAAUGGUUAGACGAUGGGAACGCUGUCUCUUUUUUCUUGUGUUGAAAUUGACUACCAGGUGCAGAGGCCUGGAUUGAAGAGUGGGACGAGAAGACCCUAUAGAGCUUUAACUUUAGCCAUAAACAAUUGUUGUGGUAAGUGUUUUAGUUGGGGCAACUAUUUUUAUAAUCAGACAUUUAUAGUAAUUUGGUAAAUUUAAUUUGUAGGGACCUUAAAUUUUUAGGUAAUUAGAAAAAGUUACCUUAGGGAUAACAGCGUAAUUUCUCUUGAGAGUUCUUAUUAACGGAGGAGUUUGCGACCUCGAUGUUGGAUCAAGUUUACCUGGGGGUGCAGCCGCUCCCAAGGGUUGGUUUGUUCAACCACUAAAAACUU